rnacentral:misc_RNA from 1 species
GAUGAAGAACGCAGCGAAAUGCGAUAAUUAAUGUGAAUUGCAGAAUUCCGUGAAUCAUCGAGUCUUUGAACGCACAUUGCGCCUCAUGACAUUCCGUGAGGCAUGCCCAUCUCAGCGUUAGAAAAUAUUCUCAAAUUUUAGUUUUGUGCUAAAAUUUGGAUCAUGUCAAGGAAGCUAUUACUAUUAUUGUGAUCGCUCUUUGGAAAUUGAUAGGUCUUUGAGUUGCUACUCAUAGAACGUGAUGAAUCUUUCUUCGUUCUAUUGUAAUUCACUCUGGUAGUCCUAAAACUUGUAUGCCUGUGGCAUAUCUUGUAAUUUGACCUGAGAUUGGGUAGGGAUACCCGCUGAACUUAAGCAUAUCAAUAAGCGGAGGA